CCAGUGUACCCUCACCCUUUCCCAGAUGACCCAAUUUUCCCUUGUCUCUCCCACACACUGGCCGAUUUCUCUGUCCUCAUAGAGUCUCUUUUCCUUACUAUGUUCCUCUCCUGUGCUUCCUGCCCUCAGCCGUCUGAACCCCCUCACUGUUUUCUCCCCCACAGGUGCCCUGGAGAAGCCAUGGAGCUGAGCAGCAAGAAGAAGCUUCAUGCCCUAUCCCUGGCUGAGAAGAUCCAGGUGCUGGAACUCCUGGAUGAGUCCAAGAUGUCCCAGUCGGAGGUGGCCCGGCGCUUCCAGGUCUCCCAGCCCCAGAUCUCACGCAUCUGCAAGAAUAAAGAGAAGCUAUUGGCAGAUUGGUGCAGCGGCACAGCCAACAGGGAGCGCAAGCGCAAGCGGGAGUCCAAGUACAGCGGCAUCGAUGAGGCUUUGCUCUGCUGGUACCACAUUGCCCGGGGCAAGGCCUGGGAUGUGACAGGGCCCAUGCUGCUCCACAAAGCCAAGGAGCUGGCAGACAUCAUGGGCCAGGAUUUUGUACCCAGCAUUGGCUGGCUGGUCCGCUGGAAACGCCGAAACAAUGUGGGCUUUGGGGCCCGCCAUGCACUCACACCUCCAUUCCCCCCUGAGCCACCUCCUCCUAGCCUCAUGUCCCAGACCCAGCUGCCUCUUUCCCUUAAAGACUUCUCCCCAGAGGAUGUUUUUGGCUGUGCUGAAGUGCCCUUGCUGUAUCGGGCAGUGCCUGGCAGAGUGGGUACAGGUGAUCAAGUGCAGGUGCUGCUGUGUGCCAACAGCAGGGGCACAGAGAAACGGCGGGUGCUGGUCAGUGGGCCCCAGGCUGCACCAAAGUGCUUCUUUGGGGUCAGCAGUGAGGCCCUGCCUGCCUCCUACCACCCUGACCUGGGCAUCCCCUGGUCAGAGUGGUUGGCACAGUUUGACCGGGACAUGGGGAGGCAGGGCCGACAGGUUGCUUUGCUGCUGGCUGCCCAAGUGGUGGAGAAGUUGGCAGGCCUGUCUGGACUCUGCCAUGUGAGGCUCCUGCCUCUUUCUGCCACUAGCACCACACCUUCCCUACCUAGCUCUGUGAUCUGGGCCUUUAAGGCCCAUUACCGGCACCGUCUGUUGGGCAAGCUAGCAGCUGUCCAGAGCAAGAGGGCUGGCAUGUCGCUGGCUGAGGCUGGAGCAGGCAUCACAGUGCUGGACACUCUGCACAUGGCCGCUGUGGCCUGGGCCAAGGUGCCUCCCCAGUUCAUUGUAAGCAGCUUCAUUCAGGAAGGGCUGGCUCCCUGCAAAAUGCCCCUGUCCCUGGACAAAGCCUCUGAGAUGCCGCCAGUCCCCUGUGGGCUGAGCCUCGAGGAGUUUUCCCGAUUUGUGGACCUGGAAGGUGAGGAGCUCAUUUCUGGAGUGUGCAAAGAGGAGAUGGGUACUGAAGACGAGGAAGGAGCUGGUGAGGACGGCGUUGAGCCCCUGCCCACCAAAUCUGAUGCUCUCCGGGCCCUGGGCACACUGAGGAGGUGGUUUGAGUGCAAUGGCACCUCCCCUGAGCUAUUUGAAAAAUUUUAUGCCUGUGAGGAGGAAGUUGAGCGACUCUGCUGCCUGUGAAGGGCCCCUGUGAAGGGCCCCUGCCACUCUCCAGAGCCCCUUCCUCUCCUGUUUCCCAUGGAAACGCCAUCUCACAGAAGGCAGAUUGGAGGCUGGUCUCUUUCCUGUGGAAAUGGAGCUUUUGUGAAAGGUAUCGAACCCACGACCUUGGUGCAUCAGGAGGAUGCUCUAACCUACGGAGCCAGCGGGCCAGGGCCUCCUCUCCCUUCUUGUCUGGGUUAUAAGAGCCACUUCCUCUUUCAUGUGCACACUCUUGGCUCCCUUCGGGCCACUCACUGCCCUGAGGUGUUCCAAUGACUGUCACAUCCGGCCCCAAAUCUCUGGGACUGUGCCCGUGCUGGACGGCCAUUGGGGUGCACAAGCUGACCAGUCGGAAGGGAUCUUGGAGGAAACUGAGGCACAGAAAGGACAGUGACUGGCUCAGGCAGACCCUGUUUUCCCAUCUCAGGACCAGGCUUCCUGAGUCUGCAGAGUGGAGGCUGCAGCACUAGGAGUUAAGUCACUUAACUCCCAACUUUCUCACUUGAAAAGACAGCACCUUUCUGCUGUUAGGAGCAGCCAGAGCUCCGUUACGUGUGUAAAAGUCACGGGAGAGCGUCGAAGAGCACAGACUUCUGGGCUCCAGCCUCAGAGAUUCUGAUUCAGUCAGGCCCGGGUGGGCCUGGGAUUCAAUUCUAACAAGCUCCAGAAGAUCCCGUGCGUUGCUCCACGGACCACACUGGGACCACCCGACGACCACAGAACUCACAGGCGCUUUCCUAAGUGUGAGUUAGCGUGAAGGCUGAACAGCUG